rnacentral:rRNA from 1 species
UUUAAUUCGAAGCAACGCGGAGAACCUUACCAGGUCUUGACAUCCUCUGACAACCCUAGAGAUAGGGCUUCUCCUUCGGGAGCAGAGUGACAGGUGGUGCAUGGUUGUCGUCAGCUCGUGUCGUGAGAUGUUGGGUUAAGUCCCGCAACGAGCGCAACCCUUGAUCUUAGUUGCCAUCUUUUAGUUGGGCACUCUAAGGUGACUGCCGGUGACAAACCGGAGGAAGGUGGGGAUGACGUCAAAUCAUCAUGUCCCUUAUGACCUGGGCUACACACGUGCUACAAUGGACGGUACAAAGAGCUGCAAGACCGCGAGGUGGAGCUAAUCUCAUAAAACCGUUCUCAGUUCGGAUUGUAGGCUGCAACUCGCCUACAUGAAGCUGGAAUCGCUAGUAAUCGCGGAUCAGCAUGCCG